GCCCACUCAUACAAGCUUAGCCCAAUACAAGGAUCCAUACAUAGACAAGCUCAUAACCUAAAAGAAUAGAGGGGAAGAAACAAAGCCCAUAGAAGGCGGUAAACCGAAAAGGAGGACGAACGCACAUACAAAAAAAAAAAAAAAAAAAAAAAAAAAAACAACAACCAUAACCAAAUACUAAGAGGUUUAUAAGUAUUGGUUAGUAACAUAUUAAUUAAAACAUAUCAGACUUAUCUACAUAGCCAUAGCCAAAAGCAUAUUUCAUCGUAGACGACUCCACACUAUAUUUCUUAUCUAUUCACAUCCUACAGAACAGAGCAGAGCAGAGCAGAGCAGGUCAGGAGAAUGCUAAGGCUUUUUUCACCCUGGCGUCAAUUGUCCGCCCAAGAAAUGGGAAUUACAGCCAGACCUACUUUUCUGCAAACAGCUAAACCAAAAGAUUCACCCAUGUCUAUAUCUUCUUUCCUCAUUCCUUCAGGUAGUUUCCAAUCAAAAUGGAACAGCAAUUGUGCGAGUAACAACUCAAUAUUAACUUGAGCAAAAUAUAUUCCAGGACACAUUCUCCUUCCAGCGCCAAAUGGGAUAUACUCAAAAUCCAUUCCCUUGUAAUCUAUGGAGUUGUUAAGGAAUCUCUCUGGGGAAAAUUUCUCAGGUUCAGGCCAGUUCUUUGGAUCUCUU
rnacentral:misc_RNA from 1 species